AUUGAACGCUGGCGGCAGGCCUAACACAUGCAAGUCGAACGGUAACAGGAAUCAGCUUGCUGAUUCGCUGACGAGUGGCGGACGGGUGAGUAAUGUCUGGGAAACUGCCUGAUGGAGGGGGAUAACUACUGGAAACGGUAGCUAAUACCGCAUAACGUCGCAAGACCAAAGAGGGGGACCUUCGGGCCUCUUGCCAUCGGAUGUGCCCAGAUGGGAUUAGCUAGUAGGUGGGGUAACGGCUCACCUAGGCGACGAUCCCUAGCUGGUCUGAGAGGAUGACCAGCCAAACUGGAACUGAGACACGGUCCAGACUCCUACGGGAGGCAGCAGUGGGGAAUAUUGCACAAUGGGCGCAAGCCUGAUGCAGCCAUGCCGCGUGUAUGAAGAAGGCCUUCGGGUUGUAAAGUACUUUCAGCGAGGAGGAAGGUGUUGUGGUUAAUAACCGCAGCAAUUGACGUUACUCGCAGAAGAAGCACCGGCUAACUCCGUGCCAGCCGCCGCAGUAA
rnacentral:rRNA from 1 species